CUGAACUGACGGUGAAAGUUGCUCUUUCCUACAGAACAGGUACCGCACAGGCACUGAAAGUGCAAACUUCCCUACCAACGUCCCUCAGCCUUAACCUGGUUGAAUCACCUCUAGGUAUGGAAAAAUAGUUCAGUCUCUAUGCAAUUUCAAUCUUUUACUCCC
rnacentral:sRNA from 1 species